ensembl:lncRNA
CACAGGAGGAAAAUGAGCUGUCACUCCAAUUCCCAGGAUGCCUUGCUGCUUAGCAUAACUCCACUCUGCGGCCCAGGGUCCACUGGUCCGUACUCUGACAGAUAAUUAAGAAAGCAGCAGCUUUUUCUAGACGGCUCUUCCUCAUGAUUUGCAUUUUAGCCAGAGGCGACCAGUUAUAAAAAAAACAUGAUGGAAAGAUGGUAAGAAGCCAAUUAGAUGGAUGGAUGGCUGACUGACAGCUCUCUGGUAUUACUACUCCAGAUUUCAUUCUAUGUAUCCUGGCAGUUUUCAACGGGAACCAACUCUGCAGGUGGAAGUUAUUCACUCAGAGAGUGGUGACGCACUGGAACAGGUUGUCCAAGGAGGCUGUGGAUGCCCCAUCCCUGGAUGCAUUCAAGGCCAGGCUGGAUGUGUCUCUGGGCAGCCUGGUCUGGUGGUUGGCGACCCUGCACAUAGCAGGGGGUUGGAACUGGAUGAGCACUGUGGUCCCUUUCAACCCAGGCCGUUCUAUGAUUCUGUGAUUCUUCUGAGUGGAGUUAAAGAGUGAACAGAGACACCCACAGCUCCAUCAGUGCUCAGAGCCCCGUCCAGCGUGACCUUGGCUGUCUGCAGGGAUGGGCCAUCUCUGGGCAACAAGAGGUAUCCUUCCUCUCUUUGUAGCUGCACAGUCACUGGGAUCAAAUUUAAAACGUGCAAAACCCCGAAUUCCUCAGAAUGCGGUGUGAAAGUGCACUUUGCUCACCGUUGUGAAAGCCAGCCGGCGAGCUUUGAGUUAUUCCCGUUAUUUCAGGAGAGGCAUAUUCCCUCUUUCUCACUAAAAGUGAGAAUACCGAGGGAAGAGAGGUGGCAGCGUGGCUAAAAUACGGAAUGAGGAAGUCACACCAACCUGUUCUGCUGCUUCGGUUGUUCAAGAGUCGGAUUUCCCGGUGUCGGAACUGCAUCACGGCAGCACUAGGUGGCAAUGUUGCUACAACGAAAACUCCCAUCGCUCCGCUCCAGCAGAGACCCCCGCCACGCUUUGCAGACAAUGCGAAGAGCUGUCGCCGCUUCGGCAGUUGCAUGGCAUCGUUUGGGUUGGCCGGGACUGCUCCGAGGUUGGCUGGUUGGUUGGCGUUUUCAUGAAGGAGCAAGUUGGAGUGAUAAAUUGGUUUUGCUUAUGGGUUUGGUCAUUCCUACUGAAUUUGCAGUGGAUCUGGGGGUUGUUGAGUAAGGCACAGAGAAAUGAGCUGCUGACAGUCGUGUUAGGAUGAGGCUCCAUCAUCUGACAAAGAUCAUGAGGACUCAAGCCUGAUCCUUAUCAUAAAAUCAUAGAAUUAUAGAAUGGCCUAGGUUGAAAAGGACCACAAUGCUCAUCCAGUUCCAACCUCCUGCUAUGUGCAGGGUCGCCAACCAGCAGACCAGGCUACCCAGAGACACAUCCAGCCUGGCCUUGAAAUAAUAAUAUCACUCAUGAGACCAUGGAAAGAAUAUAACUUGUACCUUCCCUCGUGUGCUAAUUCCAGUGAAAUCAAAGCCAAAAUUGUGGGGUAUAAAGUUUAGGGUGUGGGCAGCUUUUUCCAAGAUUAGUGCAUCUGAAGAAGAGUGAGCCAAUGGAAGCACGGAACAGCUAGCAGUUCAAUCUGUGUUUAAUCAACUACAGAGAAACAGCGUUCAUCAGGUCAUGAUGCUGAGGGGGCUCUGCACACUCCAAGUAUUUAUUUUAAUCCUCCUUAAUACCCACCAUUUGCAGUUAUAGUAAACUGCAAACUGCAGCUCUGGUUACCAAUAGGAUAAGCGACACUUCUGGUCUGAGUUUACCUCAUCGCUCAAGGGAUCAUCAUGAAAAUUCAGAUUUUAAUUCCAUUUUAAAGAAAAUGUUGCAUCCUGCUGACAGUAGCUGUGAUGGAUGAGAGUAAAAAUGGCCAAAGUGCAGAAAAAUCUUCUACCCUUUGCCAGGGAAGGGGAGUGGGCUGCACAUCCUGCAUUUCUACUGCAAAGGAUGCUCCAAAAGUAAUGCCUUCUAUUUUAUUGUCUUGGGCCACGACGUCAGAGGCAGAUGUCGGUGGGAUGACAGUAGAUACUGAGUCUUCCCACCAAUAUCCUGCUACAUUUUGUUCUGUGUGACAGACAACAGCAGAAAGACAGUCUGAAAGUACGGCAUCUGACAUGGAAAUGGGUAUGGAGCAAAGGUGUGUAAUUGAAUUCUUCCUUGAAGAAAAAGCAGCACCUACUGACAUUCAUUGAUGCUUACCGAAUGUUUAUGGAGACCAAACAGUGGGUUUGAGCACAACAAGGGGUGGGUUUUGUAUUUCUGCAGUGGUGAUAAUGACAUGAAAUACAAACCAUGUUCUAGACAGCCAUGCACAGCUGUCAGACCAUGAACUGAAGACAGUCUCAAUCAGCUCAUCCACACAUUCUGCUAAUGGUGAUGAUUGUUUUUUGUAGCUGAGAAUUCACUCUAUUCAAUAGUGUUAUUUUGUUCUUUGUAUGCAUUGUACCUUCCAUGGAAAUAUAUGCAUUACUUCUAGAGCGACCUAUGUAGUUUAUGAACAGUUGGAUUCUCAUAAUGGAUACUCAGAGGGUGGUGACACAUUGGAACAGGUUGCUCAAGGAGGUUGUGGAUGCCCCAUCCCUGCAGGCAUUCAAGGCCAGGCUGGAUGUGGCUCUGGGCAGCCUGGUCUGCUGGUUGGUGAUGCUGCACAUAGCAGGGGGGUUAAAACUCGAUGAUCAUUGUGGUCCUUUUCAACCCAGGCCAUUCUAUGAUUCUAUGAUUACAUGAUUAUAUGAUACUAAAUUAAUUGGUGGUGAAUUGCACCAGAGUUAUACAGGGGUCAGCAUCAAACCUUGUGCAGCUUCUCAGUGAUGACCAGUGAAGUUCUUACAUGAUGCUCAUAAGGAUCCAGAGAGGCAUCAGUGGUAGAACGAAGGGUCUAAGCAAUCCAUUAUUCCUGCCUUGUUGAUUGUGAGCAAUAUUGAGUCAGAUUUUCUUAUUCUGUUAGCUUUAGUUAUCAGUUAAGUAAACGCUGUUUUUCUUUACCUCUUACAUGAAGAUCACCUGCCAGAUCUGUUACUAGAAUCUCAUAGCAUGUUUUCUCAGAGUAGUGAUUACAUAUAUAUAUAUAAUUAAUUUUGUAAUGAAUUGUAUUAUGUUGUAAAAUAUUGUAUUUUAUCCUUCCGGAGCAACAGGAGAAAUUACAGGCCUUGUUCGAGGUGUGUUCAAAGGAGAAUUUAGAAUUACUCUUUGGAUUUCUUUCGAGUGGUGAGGAAGGAAUUCAUCUUUAUUAUUACUUUGGAGUCUCUUCGAUUUUCUAUAUAAGUCAAAAGUAAUAAAAUGGAUGAACUUAUCAGAGUUUUGUAUAAGUAUGUGCACCCAAGCACUUGAGGUUGUUUAAUGGACUUACUCUUCAAACAGUAAAUGCAGAGCUUCUUGAAGAUUUUCAGUGGAAAAAAGUGAGUAAGGCUUUGAAUCAGUUUUCCUUUGUAAGUCUCUCAUUUAUGUAGGCUAUUUUAAAAUGAACAUGUUAUUGGACUUCUCUAUAAGGGUGGAAUUUGAGCUAAUUUAGGUGGAUAUUUUUCUUUAUUUUGAAACAAUCUUUUUAAUGAAUAUUUAUCUCACAACUGGUAUUGUAUUUGCAUAUUUCUACAGUGAGCAAGGCUGUGACUUCUCUAAGUCAAAUUUUCUUGUUUGGUGGGAUAAAUCCAUGAUCUAGUGCCUAGAAAAGAGAAUGUGUCUGGCAGUGGGCAGAGCUGAGAAGCCUGCAUUGGGAAUGGCUCAAAUAGCCUAUAAAAAUGCUGUCUUAAUGUUGGAAUAAUCUCAGUGCUGGAUCAAAUUCUUAAAGUUUCACUGUCCCUUGUAGAAAAUAUUAUUGAGAGUAAUACUGAAAAACAGAAGAACAAGAAUAAAGCCCUGCUAGAGUAUACUGUCUGAAGAGUUUCACUUCCCUUUUUUAUAAUGCCAUUUAGUACUGUGAAAAUAGACAAUUCAGUUUCUCACCUUGAGCCAUACAUUUAGAUUGGAAGGGGAAAAAAGGAUGAAACAAGGGAUUUUUGGUGUUUUUUAGCCGUAUGAACACACAUAGACUUUGUCAGCACAGUAAAGUUGUGCUGAUAUCUGAGGAAAAGUCAGAAGCAGCUGAAAGACAGAAAGUUUAAAGAAGUGAAAAGAUGUGCAUUUCUGGCCUUAUUCAUGUCUCAUUAGCUUCUGGCACACUGUAUUGCCUAGACUAGCAAAAACAGGUUUUCUUUCUCCUUUUUCAUGCAAAUUUGAAC